AUUGAACGCUGGCGGCAGGCCUAACACAUGCAAGUCGAGCGGAGCGGCGGACGCGUGAGUAUUGCCUAGGAAUCUGCCUGGUCGUGGGGGAUACCGUCCGGCAACGGGCGCUAAUACCGCAUACUAUCAGAUGAGCCUAGGUCGGAUUCGCUAGUUGGUGGGGUAAAGGCCUACCAAGGCGACGAUCCGUAACUGGUCCGAGAGGAAGAUCAGCCACACUGGAACUGAGACACGGUCCAGACGCCUACGGGAGGCAGCAGUGGUGAAUAUUGGACAAUGGGCGAAAGCCUGAUCCAGCCAUGCCGCGUGUGUGAAGAAGGUCUUCGGAUUGUAAAGCACUUUAAGUUGGGAGGCGUUACCUACAGAAUAAGCACCGGCUAACUACGUGCCAGCAGCCGCGGUAAUAC
rnacentral:rRNA from 1 species